rnacentral:rRNA from 1 species
CACGUAGGGCGCGAGCGUUGUCCGGAAUUAUUGGGCGUAAAGAGCUCGUAGGCGGCCUGUUGCGUCCGCUGUGAAAGCCCGGGGCUUAACCCCGGGUCGGCAGUGGAUACGGGCAGGCUAGAGGUAGGUAGGGGAGAAUGGAAUUCCCGGUGUAGCGGUGAAAUGCGCAGAUAUCAGGAGGAACACCAAUGGCGAAGUCAGCACUCUGGGACGUGACUGACGCUGAGACGCGAAAGCGUGGGGAGCAAACAGG